rnacentral:snRNA from 1 species
GUACUCACUUUGGCAGCACAUAUACUAAAAUUGGAAUGAUACAGAGAAUAUUAGCAUGGCCCCUGUGCAAGGAUGACAUGCAAAUUCAUGAAGCAUUCCAUAUUUUU